ensembl:lincRNA
GUAGCUGCUGACAUCUGGAGUUCUCAAAAUACACAGGAGUGGUUUGGGUUUCUUAUUCGGAGACUGUGCUGGGUUCACUUCGCAUCAGGCCAGGCCUGCUUAAGCUUGGUUUCAUAGCACAGUGAAGCCUCGGAUAUUGCCUGCUCGUGUCCAACAUACUCCCGAGACGCGACUGAGAAGAGCCCACGGCACAUCUCCCCAGCCGCCUUCAUGGCUUCUCACUUGCCUUCUUUAGGGCAGGGAUUGGAUUCUAUCCAUCUGACAGUAACCACCCAGCACUAACAACUGGGUCCUUGGUGUUCUUGUUGCUCAACAGUGAAUAAACCUGACUGAACUGGAGGUGGGAGAGUUGGCUGGUUCCUCAGAAGGGCCUCUUUCAGUUAAAACGGCCCACCUAUGUCAUUCUGUCCAGUAUGAACUGUGUCACUCUGUGGCAGACACCACACACCUGUACCUGAGCCAGUUCCUUCAGAGUCGGUAUCUUUCUGUGAGUUACGCAGAGGAUGAGGGUGAUUCUCAUGUGUGUCUGAUUGAUUUUACCCUCUCCAUCUGUACAUGUCAAUAAUUCCUUUGUUGGCUCCACUUUAGAGUAAACAAAAUAACUCAUAGUCCAUUUUCACAAUGGCACUCUGGCUUGCUCCACUGAGACAGACUCUUCACAUUCUGUGUCAACCAGCCUUGAAUUCAUAAUUUUCCUGCUUCUACCUCCUUGCUGUUGAGAUUACAGCCAUCAUAAUCUUUACUGUAGUUUGUUGUUGUUUUGAGACAAGGUCUUGCGAUAUAUCCUUGGCUGGCCUAGAACUGCCUAUGUAGAUCAGGCUGGCCUAGAACUGCUUAUGUAGAUCAGGCUGGCCUUGAACAAUACAUAGAGAUCUGCUUGCUUCUGCACCACCUUGCAAGACUCAACAUUUCUACUUUUUAAUUUUUAAAAAAAGAUUUAUUUAUUAUACCUAAGUACACUGUAGCUGUCUUCAGAUGCACCAGAAGAGGGUGUCAGAUCUCAUUACGGAUGGUUGUGAGCCACCAUGUGGUUGCUGGGAUUUGAACUCAGGACCUUUGGAAGAGCAGUCAGUGCUCUUACCUGCUGAGUUCUUUUAACUUGAGUUUGUGUCACCAUAUAAUUCAGGAUGGCUUAGAACUCACAAUCUCGCCUUAGCCUCCCACAGACUAGUAUUAAAGAUUUAUGAUAUCAUACCUGUUUCUUUGGCCCUGACAUUCUAAUAGGGUUUUGGUUUGUUUAUUUGUUUGUUUGUUUGUUUGUUUUUACCUUAAAGACUAACUUUCAAGCCAGGCUGGACAGUACACAUUUAUAAUCUCAGCAUUUUGGGAGUGGAGGGAGGGACACCGAGAGUUCAUAUCCAGCUUUGGCUACAUAGCAAGUGCAGGGCAGACCAGGCUAUAAAAGUCUCCAAUCUCAAAGGAAAAACAAACAAACAAAUACUAACUCUGUCUUAGGCUCUUUCUUUACUCAGAAAAUUGGCCUGAUGAAGCUCCUGACUUCAUACCCUGGAAUGGCAGGGUGCCUGGUUUAUGGAGUGCUAAGGUCAAGCAGGGCCUGGUACAUGUCAGGCAAGUAGCUUACGGAGCCGUACCCCAGUCCCCCCUUAUUUCUUUUUAACUUAUUAAACUUGAUUGUUCUGAUACUUCUACAAUGCAUUCUUGCAAUAAAUAGGUAAUAAUCUAUUCUUCUUCCUCUGUAAAGAUAUUUGGCAGGUGUGAGCAGCCUAUAACAUGAUAUCUUGUGGAAUAGGUCCGGGAGAAUGAGAACUGGGUUCUCCGUCCCUGUCUUUAAAGGAUACAAACCAAUGGCCUCCUGGCUGAAUUCAGACGGCAUCAAUUAUUAUUUUUGUUUGAGACAAGAUCUCUCUAUUUAACUCAAGCUGUCUUGAUCUCUCUAUUUAACCCAAGCUGUCUUGAAACUUACUAUAUAGACCAGGCAGUUCUUGAGCCUACAGAGAUCCAUCUGCCUUGCCUCCCUCCCCUCAACCCCCAAGUGAUGAGGACACACAGACCUGACUUGCCACAUGGGGCACUUUUUAAAAUAUUGAGUGAUUCUUUUACUUACUUUGGGAAUUGUUUAUUUCUUUUUAUUUUUAAAAUGUAUUUAUUCUUAUUUUAUGCACAUUGGUUUUGUUUUGUUUUGCCUGCAUGCAUAUUUGUGUGAGGGUGUUGGAUCCCUUGGAACUUGAGUUACAGACAUAAAUAAAAUUUGUAACAGUUAUGUAUGUAUGUAUGUAGUAUGUAUGUAUGUAUGUAUGUAUGUGGCCUGGAACUCAUUGUGUAAACCAAAUUUGCUUCAAACUCACAGAAAUCUACCUGCCUCUGCCUCCUAAGGGCUGGUAUUAAAAAUAUGAGCUAUCAAUCCC